rnacentral:rRNA from 1 species
UACGUAGGGUGCAAGCGUUAAUCGGAAUUACUGGGCGUAAAGCGUGCGCAGGCGGUUUUGUAAGUCUGUCGUGAAAGCCCCGGGCUCAACCUGGGAAUUGCGAUGGAGACUGCAAGGCUUGAAUCUGGCAGAGGGGGGGGUAGAAUUCCACGUGUAGCAGUGAAAUGCGUAGAGAUGUGGAGGAACACCGAUGGCGAAGGCAGCCCCCCUGGGUCAAGAUUGACGCUCAUGCACGAAAGCGUGGGGAGCAAACAGG